rnacentral:rRNA from 1 species
GACGAACGCUGGCGGCGUGCUUAACACAUGCAAGUCGAACGCUGAAGCCCAGCUUGCUGGGUGGAUGAGUGGCGAACGGGUGAGUAACACGUGAGUAACCUGCCCCCUUCUUUGGGAUAACGCCCGGAAACGGGUGCUAAUACUGGAUAUUCACUGGCCUUCGCAUGGGGGUUGGUGGAAAGGUUUUUUCUGGUGGGGGAUGGGCUCGCGGCCUAUCAGCUUGUUGGUGGGGUGAUGGCCUACCAAGGCUUUGACGGGUAGCCGGCCUGAGAGGGUGACCGGUCACAUUGGGACUGAGAUACGGCCCAGACUCCUACGGGAGGCAGCAGUGGGGAAUAUUGCACAAUGGGCGAAAGCCUGAUGCAGCGACGCCGCGUGAGGGAUGACGGCCUUCGGGUUGUAAACCUCUUUCGCUCAUGGUCAAGCCGCAGCUUUGGGUUGUGGUGAGGGUAGUGGGCAAAGAAGCGCCGGCUAACUACGUGCCAGCAGCCGCGGUAAUACGUAGGGUGCGAGCGUUGUCCGGAAUUAUUGGGCGUAAGGACUUGUAGGCGGUUGGUCGCGAUCUGCCGUGAAAUCCUCUGGCUUAACCUGGGGGCGUGCGGUAGGCUACGGGCUGACUUGAGUGCGGUAGGUGAGACUGGAACUCCUGGUGUUUGGAUGGAAUGCCCACAUAUCAGGAAGAACACCGGUGCCGAAGGCGGGUCUCUGAGCCGUUACUGACGCUGAAGAGCGAAGGGUGGGGAGCGAACAAGAUUACAUUCCCUUGUAGCUAAAGGCCAAAUCGACCAUUGAUUCAUGCUUUAUCGAUACCGCGACCACAAGAAAGAAAAUAGUACCUACUUUUUGUUCUAUUAUGAGGUUAAUA